rnacentral:rRNA from 1 species
GCCAGACUCCUACGGGAGGCAGCAGUGGGGAAUAUUGCACAAUGGGGGAAACCCUGAUGCAGCAACGCCGCGUGAAGGAAGAAGGCUUUCGGGUUGUAAACUUCUUUUCUGAGGGACGAAGAAAGUGACGGUACCUCAGGAAUAAGCCCCGGCUAACUACGUGCCAGCAGCCGCGGUAAUACGUAGGGGGCACGCGUUAUCCGGAUUUACUGGGUGUAAAGGGGGCGCAGACGGCGAUGCAAGCCAGGAGUGAAAGCCCGGGGCCCAACCCCGGGACUGCUCUUGGAACUGCGCGGCUGGAGUGCAGGAGGGGCAGGCGGAAUUCCUGGUGUAGCGGUGAAAUGCGUAGAUAUCAGGAGGAACACCGGUGGCGAAGGCGGCCUGCUGGACUGCGACUGACGUUGAGGCCCGAAAGCGUGGGGAGCAAACAGGAUUAGAUACCCCUGUA